UACGGAAGGGGCAAGCGUUGUUCGGAAUCAUUGGGCGUAAAGGGCGCGUAGGUGGUCUUGUGUGUCUACCGUGAAAGCGUACGGCUCAACCGUAUUUAGUCGGUAGAAACUGCAGGACUUGAGGCUGGGAGGGGCUGGUGGAAUUCCCUGUGUAGCGGUGAAAUGCGUAGAUAUCCGGAGGAACACCGGUGGCGAAGGCGGCUUCCUGGACCGACACUGACGCUGAGGCGCGAAAGCUAGGGGAGCAAACAGG
rnacentral:rRNA from 1 species